GAUGAAGAACGCAGCGAAAUGCGAUAAGUAAUGUGAAUUGCAGAAUUCAGUGAAUCAUCGAAUCUUUGAACGCACCUUGCGCCCUUUGGCUAUUCCGAAGGGCAUGCCUGUUUGAGUAUCAUGAACACCUCAACUCUUCAUGGUUUUCCGUGAUGAGCUUGGACUUUGGGGGUCUUGCUGGCCUAUGGUCAGCUCCUCUAAAAUAAAUCAGCUUGCCAGUGUUUGGUGGGUAUCACAGGUGUGAUAACUAUCUACGCUUGUGGUUUUCCACCAGGUAACCUUCAGCAGUGGAGGUUCGCUGGAGCUCACAGAUGUGUCUCUCCUCAGUGAGGACAGCUCUUUGAAUGUUUGAUCUCAAAUCAGGUAGGACUACCCGCUGAACUUAAGCAUAUCAAUAAGCGGAGGA
rnacentral:misc_RNA from 1 species